UGGCGACCGGCGCACGGGUGAGUAACACGUAUCCAACCUGCCGAUGACUCGGGGAUAGCCUUUCGAAAGAAAGAUUAAUACCCGAUGGCAUAGUUCUUCCGCAUGGUGGAACUAUUAAAGAAUUUCGGUCAUCGAUGGGGAUGCGUUCCAUUAGAUAGUAGGCGGGGUAACGGCCCACCUAGUCUUCGAUGGAUAGGGGUUCUGAGAGGAAGGUCCCCCACAUUGGAACUGAGACGCGGUCCAA
rnacentral:rRNA from 1 species